AUUUCAGUUGUCAGUUUUAAAGCAAGAAAAGGAAGUCAUAUCAAAUGCUGAAAAAAGAGCAUCUGAUGAAGUUCGCAGUUUAUCUGAAAGGGUGCUGCGUUUGCAGGCUAGUUUGGGUACCAUACAGAGUACUGAGGAAGUUCGAGAGGAAGCAAGAGCUGCAGAGAGGGUUAAACAAGAAGAAUAUAUAAAGAAAUUGGAGG